GAGUGAGGAAGGGGGUGACCAGUGACAGAGGGAGGGGUGACUAGGGACAGAGUGAGGGAGGUGGUGACUAGUGACUUGUGACAGUCACCACCUCCCUCACUCUGUCACCUGUCAUCCCCUCACUCUGUCACUAGUCACCCCUUCCUUACUCUGUCACUAGUCACCCACUCCCUCCCUCACUCUGUCACUAGUCACCCCCUCUCUCACUCUGUCACCAGUCAUUCCCUCACUCUGUCACCAGUCAUCCCUUCCUUCCCUCACUC
rnacentral:sRNA from 1 species